GUUUUUUUUUUAUUAAGAUAAGCAGCAACGUGUAUCAAUAUUUGUUUUACAUUUCCAGAGGCGGCCCCUGCCUUCCCGGUGUCGCCGAACCACACCGUAGACAUUCCCGCUCCGGGGAAUAUCUGCCAGCGUGAACAUGCAAAUAUUUAGUUGGUGACGUUUUGGAUGGAGAUGUUUCGUGGUGGAAGCCUAGCGACGGUCGUCAGUUCAUCAUCGUUGAAAACAUUAGCGACGCAGUGGCGCUGGUUUCCGACGGGAACGGUGACGGACGCACCACACGUCUCUGUCCUCCAGUUCCUGCCGACUUACCGCCGCUGGAGGUGUUUUAUUUUGGCGUGCGUGUGCUUUAUCAUCUUCCUUACGAUGCUGUGUACGACAGUGAUCGCAACUUCUACUGAUGUUUAAGAAGGAACUGCAGAUGCUGGAAAAAUCGAAGAACAUUAAAUUAAAAAGAGAAGACAGAGAAGAGAGAGAAAAGAGAAAGAAGAAAAGUGAGGAGAUAUAUCCCUCGACUCACCCCUGCACCUGCUCACCCAGCCCUGCAAUCAGUUUCCAAUUUGUGUUCAACCAUUGUGGUGCUCAACAAAUUCAAUAAAAUAUUUUUUGUAAUUGUU